UACGUAGGGUGCAAGCGUUAAUCGGAUUUACUGGGCGUAAAAGCGCACGUAGGCGGAUCGUUAAGUCGGGGGUGAAAUCCUGGAGCUCAACUCCAGAACUGCCUUCGAUACUGGCGAUCUCGAGUCCGGAAGAGGUGAGUGGAACUCCUAGUGUAGAGGUGGAAUUCGUAGAUAUUAGGAAGAACACCAGUGGCGAAGGCGACUCACUGGCCCGGUACUGACGCCCGAGGUGCGAAAGCGUGGGGAGCAAACAGG
rnacentral:rRNA from 1 species